AUGAAGAAUCCACUUACUGAAAAGUGCAGCCACUGGUUGAAUUUUCAGCAAAAAAAGAUUAAGCAGAGAAUGGAGAGGAAGGUUGACUCCAGGUCUUUUAGGGACAGUGCAGUAAAGAAGCCUUAUUCUCCAAAGAUACUGUCCACAAAGAAAUCCUCUGCAUUCUCUGGGAGCCGGAGUGAGGGAUCUAGGGCCAGUCAGCCAGUGAAAUACCAUCCCUCCCAGGCCCGGGCCCGAAGGGACCGGCUAAGAGAACUGCGUGUCAGGCUUUACUAUGAACAAAAGAUUCUGCGAAAGGUCUUUGAAGAGUGGAAAGAAGAGUGGUGGGUUUCCCAUCGAGAGUGGAAACUCCGUGUUCGAGCUGACUGUCACUACAGAUAUUACUUGUACAGCCUGAUGUUCCAGACCUGGAAGACCUACGUGUAUCAGCAACGGGAGAUGAGGAGCAAGUACCUGAGAGCCGAGAAUCAUGAUGCAAAGCAAAAGAUGCGACAGGCCUGGAAGUCCUGGUUGAUCUACGUGGUUUUCCGUAGGACUAAACUUCAGAUGCAGACCACUGCCCUGGAGUUCAGGCAGCGGAGUAUUCUGUGGGUGUGGUGGAGUGCGUGGAGACGGCGACUGGGCCGGGUCCGCCUAGGCCGAGCCCUUCAGGCCACAGCCGUGAAGCACUGGGCCCAGAGCCUCCAGCUGCAGGCUUGGUCACGGUGGCAGGAGCAGCUCCUCUUUGUCUGGAGGGAGAGAAGGAAGAUGGUCUCCGCGGUGAAACACCUUCGGCGCCGGCAGCAGAGGAGAGCCCUCAGGGCCUGGCUUGAGUACCUGAAGCUGCGCAGAGAGAAGAGGCUGCAGAACCAGAUGGCCGAGCGAGUCCAGUGCACCACCCUGCUCCAGACGCACUUCUGUGCCUGGCGGCGCGCCUGGGCGCGGAGGGAGAGCCUGCACGCCCACCACGCGCGGGUGGAGGGCCUGGCCAGGAGGUCACUGCUGCGGAGGGCCUUGACACACUGGAAACACUACACGCUGCUGUGCACGGAGGAAGCUGAGCGGUGGAAGGCGGCGGGAGAACACCACAGGCGCGGCCUGCUGCUGCUGCACAGGGUCUGGAACCUCUGGCAGUCGCGGCUCGAGCAGAGGGAGGAAAGAGAGCAGCUGCCCUUCCUGCGUGCUGCCUGGGACCACAGCAGAAUAAUGUUGCUUCGCAAGUGCUUCCAGUUGUGGUCGCAGUCCACCCAGAAGAGGCGAUCCCAGCAGGAGAUGUUAGAGAAGCAGGUGUUUGCCAUCUGGUGUCAGAAGACGUCUCAGCAUCAAGAACACCGCUUGGCAGAGAGGAUGGCCGUGCUCCACGCAGAGCGGCACCUUCUGCAGCAGUCGUGGUCCACGUGGCGCCAGCAGGCAGCGGCACACCGCCUGGAGCAGCAGCAGCAUGCCCUGGCCUGUGCCCACCACCACCUCGGGCGGCUCAGGAGGGCCUUCUGCGUCUGGAGGGAGGGCGCCCGAGGGCUCAGAACAGAGAGGAUGGGCAGUGUGCGGGCUGCACGAUUCCAUGUGGCGUGGCUUCUGCGCUGGGCUUGGACCAGGUGGCGGGAGCGCCGGGCCCUGCGCAGUGCCGAGUGGCAGAAGCUGGCGCGAGCCGACCUACACCACCAGCACAGCUUGCUGCACAGGGCGCUGCAGACCUGGGGGGUGUAUCAGAGCCAGGUGCGGAGCGUGCUGCAAGAGGCGGCUGCCAGGGAGAGCCGGCACAAGAGGCGACUGCUGAGGCGUGUGUUACAUCGCUGGAGAGAGAACACUGUGGCCCAAGCGGACGAAACGAAAAAGACGUCCCGGGCGGCAGCUCACUACAGAAGGACUCUGUGCUCCAAGGUCCUGCUUGAGUGGCGAGAGGCAGCAUCUGUGCAGGUGUAUUUCCGAGAGCAGGCGGAUGGGGCUGUCAGGGAGGCCCAGCUGGUGCUGCGGAGAGGCCGUCUCAGGACCUGGUUUCGGUGCUGGCGGGACCGAAGCCGGAGGGCUGCCCAGCAGAGGCUGCAGAUGGAGCGGGCAGUGCGGCAUUACUGCCGGAAGCUGCUGCAGGAGGCCCUGGCCCGGUGGAAGGUGCACCAUCAGGGCUGCGUCAGGAAGAGGCUGCAGCAGAGGCAGGCCGCCCGACUCCUGGCCCAGAUGCUUAGCCGGGCUUGCUUCCACCAGUGGAGACGACAGCUGCUGGACAGGAGGCACGAGCGGCAGCACACGGCGCGGGCCCUGUGGUUCUGGGCCUUCUCCCUGCAGGCGAAGGCCUGGGCCGCCUGGCGGGGCCUUGUGCAGGAGACGAGGAGGAAGAAGGCGCGGGAGGAGCAGGCGGCGCAGGUCUACCACCUGCAGCUCCUCAGGGAGGGCGUUGAGCGCCUCCUGCGUUUUGCAGCUGGCACGAAGGCCUUCCGGCAGCAGCUGCACGCCCAGCAGCAGGUGCAGGCGGCCCACAGUCUCCACCGCGCAGUGCGUCGCUGUGCCACGCUCUGGAAAGAGAAGGCGCUGGGCCCGGGCAGGGAGCCGCAGUCCCCUGUGUCCACUGAGCCCAGCAGAAGAGUGACGUUUGAGCGUCUGCUUCCUAGCCACGUUGCUGCCGGGGCUGGCGAUGCCCCCCUGGAGACUAAGAGGCCACCAGCUCCUCGUGGGCUUUGGGGAGCCUUGGACGGCCUGGCAUCAGCCCCUGGGGACCCCCAGCUCCUGGAGCUCAAUGUUGCCCGUUGGGCACGGAAGCAGCCGCGACGCCCAAGCUUCCUGGCAGAGCCCUUGCAGAGCCGGGCGUCCCAGGCCCUGUGGGAGUGCGGCCUACACCAGGUCCAGCCAGUGGGCCCCACCCGGUCAGCACUGGACCCAAGCAGCCCCCUGCCAUGCGCCUCUGGCCUGAAGCCGCCGCCCACGGCGCACCCCAGCCCAGAGCUGCUGCCCCCGUCCUCCUUUGCACCACGUGGGGCCCAAGUACCCGUUUGGCGACCAGCCCAGCCGGUGACGCCUGGGCUUCCGCCCCAGGCCCCUCUGUCCCUGGCCGGUGUCCCCAGCCCCCGCCUGCUCCUUCCUGAGGACUUCAAGGGCACCAGGCCUGGGCCUGGCUCUGACCCUGCAGGCCACAGCGACGUGGAGGCUGAGCUUGAGGGCAUCCGGCAGCAGCUGCAGGACUACCAGACCACGAGGCAGAACCUCAGGUCCUGCCAGCGGCAAGCACACAGCCUGAGGCGGUGGCUAGAGCUGAGCAGGGAGGAGCCCCGGGCUGAGGACCAGGAAGCUGAGCAGCAGGUUCAGGAGGAGCUGCGGAAGGUGGAGGUGCAGAUCCAGCAGCUGGCCCACGAGCUGCAGGCCCGGCGCCAGCCCGUCCACACCUGCAUCGCUCGGGUCCAGGCCCUGCGGCAGGCUCUGUGCUAG
rnacentral:lncRNA from 1 species